rnacentral:misc_RNA from 1 species
UUGUACAUCAUUCAAUUGAGAUCAUCAUAUGUAGAGGUAAAUUAUCCGCCAUAAAUCUGUCGGUCGCUUCGUGUGCGAUAAUAACGACCCAUUAAUUUUUAUUAUCUUUCUUAUCGCGACGUUACGUCCAGCCAAUAAGCGAGCGUUUCGUCGUUCAUUGGUCAAGUUGAUAGACACACGGCAAACGGCAAGACUUGACAAGAGACACUAGCCAACACUAGCCUCCGUCCGUACUCCGUCACUCCGUGUAGUUGCGUGUAGUCCGUGUGGCCCUUACCGUCUGAGCUGUCACAAGUGUCAUGUAGAAGAACGCUCCGAUUUUCGUUCGAUUCCAAUUGUCAAGCGCGGCACCGCGAAUGCGAUCGCGCGAGGAAUGAUACGCCUGUGCAUUGCUGUGCAUUAUGUGAUAACAGUGUACGAACUCACGCACGCGUUACGCUGGCGGUUUUGCGCGAGCGACUCUACGCUCCACGCUUGUAAACAUUAACGUAUAUAACCCACCGUUGCGUAUGUGCCAUACAGCGGGUCUUCCGUUAUGAAUGCUUAUAACAGAGGUGCAUCAGGCAUAUCAGGGAAUACCUUUGAUUGCUGGGUACAAAAGUCUAUGCAUGAUGAUUCUGCCAUUAUAAAGAUGCAAUACCAAUUCUGGGUGAGAAAGCAGGCCUUGUCUCAGAAAUUAGGGAAGAAGGAGGAUGAGUGUAUAGUUGCGUCGGAUGCAGAGCUGGACGCAAAGCUAGAAUUGUUCCGCAGUAUCCAAGAUUCCUGUUCCUACUUACAAAGGGUUAUCGAUAAAUACCAAGAAAGAUUAUGCAAUUUAGCUCAGGAGGAAAAUGGAAUGGGACGUUUUUUGAAAGAUGCUGGGAAGCAAGACAAAACUCGCGCCGGCAAAAUGAUGACAGCAGUUGGCAAAUCCCUGUCUUAUUCUGGUCAGCAAAGGCUUGCACUGAGAGCGCCCCUAGGCCGAUUGUACCAAGAGGUGGAAACAUUUAGGCAAAGAGCUAUCGAAGAUACGUUGCAAAAUGUGCAAGCGAUGGAAAAGGCUCGUACAGAGUACCGAGCCGCUUUGUCAUGGAUGAAAAAUAUUUCUCAAGAUUUAGAUCCAGAUACGUCCAAGCAACUGGAAAAAUAUAAAAAAGUUCAAGCACGGGUCAAGCAAGGCAAAAUAGUUUUUGACAAUCUGGCCCUUGAUUGUCUUCAAAAGGUUGAUUUGUUAGCGGCGGCAAGAUGUAACAUGUUCAGUCACGCCUUAGUUUUAUACCAAACUACACUCCUGAAUUUUGCAAAGAAAUCUGCACAAGCGUAUUCCACAAUAGCGAACAGCUUCAAAGGCUAUCAACGUUAUGACUUCACAGUUGUGCGAGAAUUGGCUGAAACCUCUAGUAAAUUGGCACAGGAGACUGGAGGUGACGACGAUUUGGAAGAUAAGGAUAGAUUACAAUUUUUUGAUCUGGACUAUCACGAUGACAUUGAAGAAGCUCAAGAGGCUACCACAAAUUCAAAGAGCACAUCGGAAAAAGACAAGAAAGAUGAGAAGCUCUUAGACAUAGAUAAUGAGCCAAAGGACACAUUAAUACAACUGAAUACGAGCACAAAUUCUUCGGAAAACGGAAUCAUGCAUAGUACCGAUGCAGAAAAUGAUAAAAGUCUCGAGGAGUUUUUUGGAAAUCUUAUCUUGGAAAAAGAUGCAUCCAAUAGUACUCAACAACCAGUUAUUAAAACAGAAAAAAUCAGUCAUACUGUAUUGGAUAAGACCUCUGAAGAGCAGAAAUCAGUAAUGGAUAUAUUUGAAGAGUGCAACACCGAUUUUAAUUUGGCCGAUCUAGCUUCCCUGUCGACGGAGAGUCAACAACAGCAAUCGCUAAAUUUACUGGUCUCUGAGAGCGCGGCGCUUUUUGACGAGAUUCUGAACGAUAAGCAACAAGGCGCGAACAAUGACUGGGAAGGCAUAUCACACGAUACUUUUUUACCACCGAAUAUUUUGAAACAGAGUUUAGGAGACGCGGCGCUAGGUAUGGGACAGAAGAGUAUCGCUAGUAAUGUGGACGACAAAAAAAAAAAUAAGACUGGAAAGCAGAAAGGUAACUCGUGGUUGGACUUAUUCGCAGAAUUGGAUCCAUUGGCUAACAAUCCAAUGGAGAAUCUUUCUGGUGACAGUAAUGCUUCUGCUUAAUUCAUAAUGCAUUUUAUCGCCCAUGAUUCAUUUGGUAUUUGUAACAAUAAGGAAAACUGAUCAAGCUAUGUUAUCAACGAGUGAUGUGAUUUAUUUUUAAUGGAAUCUUCAUAAGAAUCAAAACUCUUUGAACUACAUAAUUUUUCAUACAAGCUAAAAACAGAUACCAAAGAUAUAAAAUGUAAUGUUUAACAUUAUGCACUAGUUAUAUUUUCUUUCAAAUAUAAAUAUAUAUAUAUAUACAUAUUACAAGAUCUUUAAGAUAAAUUAUAGAUAUUAAAUUUAUUAUGGAAUUCUUUGUAUUUUUGAAGGAUAUAUCUAAAGGUAUGGAAGUAUACCGCACAAGUA